GGCGACGGCGCCUCGACGCUGUCGUCAUCUCUUUUUCCCGCGGUGCACUCGCGUUCCUCGUCGCUGGCGCUCGGUAUCGGCGUAAGCGACAGCGGCAGAGGCGCACUCUCAUCGCUCGGCAACCGGUGACGGAGCGCCACAAAGUGCAGGUGCAGCCGGUGGAGUGCCGAAUAGAUUGCUGGCGCAUUGCGCUUGACUUUGGCGCCGCCGGCCGCGUGCAACGCCCUCAAUUGCUCGAUCGCUUGGCGUUGCUCGCUACCCGCGAGCAUUUGUCCCGAUACCGGGACCAUGUGUGCCGCAGUCGUCGUGGUAGGCAAUGCGUCGCAUCGAUCGUGACUCGGCGCAGCGCAAUCAACUGGUGUUGUUGCGGCCAUCGAGCGCCGUCGCGGCCGAUAAUUCCGUUCGGGUGGGCCGCGCGCUCGGCCUCGGCUCCUCUUCGGUGCUUCAGCGAGCGAGGACAAGCCAGCGAGAGUAGGAUCUCUCGGGGCACAGGAGAACAGGCAGAUAAAUCGAUGGGCUGCGCAGCAGGAAGAAGAAGAAAAAAGUCCCUCCC
rnacentral:lncRNA from 1 species